GCUCCGCGUUCUUUCCCGCAGCUGAGUUUGCUCCCCGGCAUCCCGGGAUGCGGGAACCCGCUUGGAGCUGGUGUUGGAGGUCCAAGCAGCAGUCUUUGCUCCCGAGCAGCCCGGGAUGCGGGAGCCCACCGGGAGCUGGCGUUGGAGGUCCACGGAGGUGAGUCAUCCCUGAGGGCUUCUUCACGACUCGGACUCCUCCUCCUCCUUGCUGAGAGGCUGUAGUCCGUGGGGACCGUGAGCCAGCUGCGGAAAUCGUUGUCCCGUUGCGGGAAGCUGCUCCAGGCCCUCUCCCUGAUCACGUUCCUCUGGCAGCAGGAACAGGAGCUGAAUCCGUCCUCCUCCUCCUCGUCGUCGUCGUGUUGCGCGGCGUGCAGCCCAAGGUCAAACAGUUGACGGCAGAACGGGAAGCCAGGUUGGGUUCUGGACGUGUACGAGGCCACGCUGCGCCCGCCUGGCCGGGCUGCAGAUGCCUCCCGUGCAUCUGCCCAGUUUAACUGGCUGGUGCUGGUCCUUGUAGAGGAGCUGGUGUCCUCUGGAGAAUCCUCCCUGCCCACCGCCGUGUUCUGCAAAGAGAGCUGUGAAAAGGCCCUGCCCUUUCCCCGUGAAAGGACCAGAACGGUGGGGAACCCCCAGAAACCGUGGGAGGGGACAGCUAAGGGCGUCCCAGAGCUUCUCCCGGCGGGCCGCAAAGGCAGAAGAACCAAAGGUGGACAAAUGGGGUGGAUCGAGGUGGGAUGCUUUGAGAGGGAGAAGCGUUGCAGCUUUGAAGAAAGCUGCAGCCUGGGAGGGAAAAGAGAACGAUGCCAAGAUCCCGGAAAGAAAUGCACUGAUCCAUCUCCCCGGACUUACCUUAGUCCUAGGAAGAAGACCCCAUGGUCCCGCAGGAUCUACCUGCUUGCUGCCGGCCGCCCACUGCCUCAGGAAGGCGCGGGCAUGUGAUGCUAUCCGUGGGGAAGAAGGCCUUCCUCCCCUGAAAUCAGGGCUCCUGGAGAAAAAAAAAAGUGAUUUCUAUUUAGGGCUGUUCUUGCAGCUUUCCCUGGGGUCCAGCCACUGUCUUGGAGCGGUUUCUAUGACAGAGAGAAGACGUAUCCGAACCUACAAAUUUGAAAUUUGGUUGGGGUCUUCCCACCAGGUCUGCCCUUGUCGGAGCAAGACCUCAUCUUUAUACUCCCUACGGCCUCCGUUUCAGAGACUCGUAAAAUGGUUGGGGUUGGCGGGGACCUUCAAGAUCAUCUCGUUCCGUCUCCCCUGCCAUGGGCAGGGACGCCUUCCACUAGACCAGGUUGUUCAAAGCCCCGUCCAACCUGGCCUUGGACGCUUUCAGGGAAAGGGCAUCCACAACUGCUCUGGGCAACCUCUUCCAGUGUCUCACCACCCUCACCGUAAAGAAUUUCUUCCUAACAGCUAACCUAAACCUACCCUCUUUCAGUUUAAAACCGUUCCCCCCUCGUCCUAUCACUGCAAUCCCUCGUAAAAAGUCCCUUCCCAUCCUUCCCUUUAAGUACUCUCCUGUUAUUACCUGACAUAAAACAGCAAAUAGGCUUGCUGCUGGAGAACCGUGCUGAUGUCACAACGAUCCACAGAUGAAUCGUUCAUCUCGUACCACAGCCCAUUGCCGGCCUGUAAAAAAAAAAGGCAACGGUAUCUGGAGACGAACCGCGUGGUUUCUCCACAAAAACGGAGGCAGAAGAACUACAGAACCAAGAGUACGCCAAAACAAACCCAACGCAGCCUCUAAGGAGACCUUCUCCUUGGCUGCCAGUAUCGCUGCCGUCAAAGUUUGUCUUCCUCAGCACACGUUUUUCUCGUGUGUGGGAGGAAGUUGCUCUUUACCUUCGUGUAGCAGAAAUAGUGUCCCGAAUGACAGCUAUUACCGCUAUGCACCAGGACAGCGUAUAAAGAGUAGAAGAGCGGUUCUCCAUCCGUCUGAGACAUGUACGGGCGAAGAUCCAAGCAGUUGGAAUACUUCACAACCUACGGAGAGACCAAGAGCGCUCAGAAACGAUCCUGAAACACUCCACGAAGUAGACUUCCAAGACCAGGGGCCAGAGGUGUAUAAAUACAUCUCUGGGGCUCAUGAACACUUGUUUUUUUUCCCCCAAAGCAACAGGUAAUGGUUUGGGUGGCAGGAAACUGUUCUCGGCCAAAGCAGCUCUCUCGGAGCAGAGUACGUCCUUGUCUUCCCGCGGCAACUCUCCCCUCCCCAGAAGGGAACACGAAAAACUCAACAUGAGUUGAGUGAAAGAAAGAAAGAAAGUUUCUUUUCACGCUUGCGAAAGAGCGUACUGCUUUGGGAAAUAGCCCGCUCCAGGACGAGAACGUCGCCCUCCAGUUGCAGACGCACCUUGUCGAUCUUCCCGCCGGUGAAAUCUUCAAACCUCUUCAGACAGACGGUGAGAACCUUGGGCGCGCGAUGGAUUGUAAACCUCUUGGAGGCGGCGACCUUCUUGUUACACCUUGAAACCAAGCACAGAGCCAAGUGCUGAAACGCGACCUUCAUAGACGCCCUAGCUUGCCCCAAGAAGGCCAGACAUCCUUUCACGUCUCACACGCCCCUCCGCUGUUUUAAGGCUGCUCGGAUGCAUAAAGCCGUAUUAAAAUC